UACAGAGGUCCCAAGCGUUGUUCGGAAUUACUGGGCGUAAAGGGCUUGUAGGUGGCCAACUAAGUCAGACGUGAAAUCCCUCGGCUUAACCGGGGAACUGCGUCUGAUACUGGAUGGCUAGAGUGUGGGAGAGGGAUGCGGAAUUCCAGGUGUAGCGGUGAAAUGCGUAGAUAUCUGGAGGAACACCGGUGGCGAAGGCGGCAUCCUGGACCACGACUGACACUGAAAAGCGAAAGCCAGGGGAGCAAACGGG
rnacentral:rRNA from 1 species